GUUUACCAAGUGUAGCGGUUAUCACGUUCGCUUUACACGCGAAAGGUCCCGGUUCGAGCCCGGGCGGAAACA
rfam:Ciona savignyi cont_28848, whole genome shotgun sequence.